rnacentral:rRNA from 14 species
AUUUCCGAAUGGGGAAACCCGACCCUUUAGGGUCAUCGUACGGUGAAUUCAUAGCCGUGCGAGGCGAACCCGGGGAACUGAAACAUCUCAGUACCCGGAGGAAAGGACAUCAACCGAGACUCCGUCAGUAGCGGCGAGCGAACGCGGACCAGGCCAGUCUUAUAGAAGUAAUAACUUGAAUCAUCUGGAAAGAUGAGCCAUAGAGGGUGAUAGCCCCGUAAAGGUAAAAGUCUUUUAUAAGCUUGAGUAGGGCGGAACACGAGAAAUUCUGUCUGAAGAUGGGGGGACCACCCUCCAAGCCUAAGUACUCCUUAAUGACCGAUAGUGAACAAGUACCGUGAGGGAAAGGUGAAAAGCACCCCGAUUAGGGGAGUGAAA